UACGUAGGCAGCGAGCGUUGUUCGGAGUUACUGGGCGUAAAGAGUGCGUAGGCGGUUUUCUAAGUUUGGUGUGAAAUCUCCCGGCUCAACUGGGAGGGUGCGCCGAAGACUGGAAGGCUUGAGUAUGGGAGAGGUAAGCGGAAUUCCUGGUGUAGCGGUGAAAUGCGUAGAUAUCAGGAGGAACACCGGUGGCGAAGGCGGGUCUCUGGGCCGAUACUGACGCUGAGGAGCGAAAGCGUGGGGAGCGAACAGG
rnacentral:rRNA from 1 species